rnacentral:rRNA from 1 species
UACGUAGGCGACGAGCGUUAUCCGGAUUUACUGGGCGUAAAGAGCGCGCAGACGGCCUUUCAAGUCGGAUGUAAAAUCUCCUGGCUUAACUGGGAGGGAUCACCCGAUACUGUUGGGCUUGAGGACAACAUAGGAAGGUAGAAUUCCCGGUGUAGUGGUGAAAUGCGUAGAUAUCGGGAGGAAUACCAGUGGCGAAGGCGGCCUUCUGGGUUGUUUCUGACGUUCAGGCGCGAAAGUGUGGGGAG